rnacentral:rRNA from 1 species
ACAGCGGAGAGUUUGAUCCUGGCUCAGGAUGAACGCUAGCGGCAGGCUUAACACAUGCAAGUCGGACGGCAGCGGGGGAGGAGCUUGCUCCUCCUGCCGGCGAGUGGCGCACGGGUGAGUAACACGUAUGCAACCUGCCCUUGUCAGGGGGACAACCCAGCGAAAGCUGGGCUAAACCCGCGUACAUCCCUUGGGGGCAUCCCCUUGGGAGGAAAGGAGCGAUCCGGACAAGGAUGGGCAUGCGGCGCAUUAGCCAGUCGGCGGGGUAACGGCCCACCGAAGCGACGAUGCGUAGGGGUUCUGAGAGGAAGGUCCCCCACACUGGUACUGAGCCACGGACCAGACUCCUACGGGAGGCAGCAGUGAGGAAUAUUGGUCAAUGGGCGCGAGCCUGAACCAGCCAAGUCGC